UACGUAGGGGGCAAGCGUUGUCCGGAAUCAUUGGGCGUAAAGAGCGUGUAGGCGGCCAGAAAAGUCCGCUGUGAAAACUCGAGGCUCAACUUCGAGCUGUCGGUGGAAACUUUCUGGCUAGAGUCCGGAAGAGGAGAAUGGAAUUCCUGGUGUAGCGGUGAAAUGCGCAGAUAUCAGGAGGAACACCAAUUGCGAAGGCAGCUCGCUGGGACGUCACUGACGCUGAGGAGCGAAAGCGUGGGGAGCGAACAGG
rnacentral:rRNA from 1 species